GUUGGAAGCAGGAUCCCUGUUCUCUAGAAACAGUGGGAAGGUUGGAAGCAGGGAUCCCUGUUCUCUAGAAACAGUGGGAAGGUUGGAAGCAGGGAUCCCUGUUCUCUAGAAACAGUGGGAAGGUUGGAAGCAGGAUCCCUGUUUUCUAGAAACAGUGGGAAGGUUGGUGGCAGGAUCCCUGUUCUCUAGAAACAGUGGGAAGGUUGGAAGCAGGAUCCCUGUUCUCUAGAAACAGUGGGAAGGUUGGAGGCAGGAUCCCUGUUCUCUAGAAACAGUGGGAAGGUUGGAAGCAGGAUCCCUGUUCUCUAGAAACAGUGGGAAGGUUGGAAGCAGGAUCCCUGUUCUCUAGAAACAGUGGGAAGGUUGGAAGCAGGGAUCCCUGUUCUCUAGAAACAGUGGGAAGGUUGGAAGCAGGGAUCCCUGUUCUCUAGAAACAGUGGGAAGGUUGGAAGCAGGAUCCCUGUUCUGUAGAAACAGUGGGAAGGUUGGAAGCAGGAUCCCUGUUCUCUAGAAACAGUGGGAAGGUUGGAAGCAGGAUCCCUGUUCUCUAUACUGUCUGUCUGCUGUCAGUCACCACACUACCCUGCUACAACAUACUGUCUGUCUGCUGUCAGUCA